rnacentral:rRNA from 1 species
GUGUCAGCAGCCGCGGUAAUACGGAGGAUCCGAGCGUUAUCCGGAUUUAUUGGGUUUAAAGGGAGCGUAGGCGGAUGUUUAAGUCAGUUGUGAAAGUUUAAGGCUCAACCUUGAAAUUGCAGUUGAUACUGGACGUCUUGAGUGCAUUACAUGUGGGGGGAAUUCGUGGUGUAGCGGUGGAAUGCUUAGAUAGCACGAGAAAAGCCAAUUGCGAAGGCAGCUCACAGGACUGUAACUGACGCUGAUGCACGAAAG